rnacentral:rRNA from 1 species
GAUGAACGCUGGCGGCGUGCCUAAUACAUGCAAGUCGAGCGAACAGACGAGGAGCUUGCUCCUCUGACGUUAGCGGCGGACGGGUGAGUAACACGUGGAUAACCUACCUAUAAGACUGGGAUAACUUCGGGAAACCGGAGCUAAUACCGGAUAAUAUAUUGAACCGCAUGGUUCAAUAGUGAAAGACGGUUUUGCUGUCACUUAUAGAUGGGUCCGCGCCGCAUUAGCCAGUUGGUAAGGUAACGGCUUACCAAGGCAACGAUGCGUAGCCGACCUGAGAGGGUGAUCGGCCACACUGGAACUGAGACACGGUCCAGACUCCUACGGGAGGCAGCAGUAGGGAAUCUUCCGCAAUGGGCGAAAGCCUGACGGAGCAACGCCGCGUGAGUGAUGAAGGUCUUCGGAUCGUAAAACUCUGUUAUUAGGGAAGAACAAAUGUGUAAGUAACUAUGCACGUCUUGACGGUACCUAAUCAGAAAGCCACGGCUAACUACGUG